GACGAACCGUCCAAACGUUGUUCGGAUUCACUGGGCUUAAAGGGCGCGUAGGCGGGUGAGCAAGUCCGGGGUGAAAUCUUUCGGCUUAACCGGAAAAUAGCCUUGGAUACUGCUUGUCUAGAGGGAGGUAGGGGUCUGUGGAACUUCCGGUGGAGCGGUGAAAUGCGUUGAUAUCGGAAGGAACGCCGGUGGCGAAAGCGACGGACUGGACCUCUUCUGACGCUGAGGCGCGAAAGCCAGGGUAGCGAACGGG
rnacentral:rRNA from 1 species